rnacentral:rRNA from 1 species
UACGAAGGGGGCGAGCGUUGUUCGGAAUUACUGGGCGUAAAGGGCGCGUAGGCGGCCCUCUUUGUCGCGUGUGAAAGCCCCGGGCUCAACCCGGGAACUGCGUCCGAUACUGGCAGGCUUGAAUCCGGGAGAGGGAUGCGGAAUUCCAGGUGUAGCGGUGAAAUGCGUAGAUAUCUGGAGGAACACCGGUGGCGAAGGCGGCAUCCUGGACCGGUAUUGACGCUGAGGCGCGAAAGCCAGGGGAGCAAACGGG